rnacentral:lncRNA from 1 species
CAUCCGAGCUUCUACAGUAAGCAGCCUUCUUUCAGACUCCUACAAGAAUCAGACUCCAUCCGAACUUCUACAGUGGUUGGAUUCCAGACGAACUUCUACAACGGAUGGGCUCCAGCAGUCGGAUUUCUACAGUGACCGACUGUCUCCGAUGUCUUCCGUACCUCUCCAGCCACCAACCUUCACCAACGCCAGCCGACCUUCCACAGUGUCCUCCAGACUCU